UACGUAGGGGGGCGAGCGUUGUCCGAAGUUACUGGGCGUAAAGCGCGCGUAGGCGGUCCUUUUAAGUCCGGGGGUGAAAGGUUCAGCGCUCAACGUGAACAGUGCCCCUGGAGACUGGGGGGGACUUGAGUGUGGGGAGGGGGGCAGUGGAAUUCCUGGUGUAGCGGUGAAAAUGCGUAGAUAUCAGGAGGAACACCGAUGGCGAAGGCAGCUGCCUGGCCCUGGACCAUCUG
rnacentral:rRNA from 1 species